ACAGCCAAAAAGUGCUUACACGCCUUUCCCCAUCUCAUGUCUAAGAACUCCAGAUGUUUCCUUGAAGCAGGUUUACAAGAUACUUGAAUGCUCGCUUAUUCUGAUAUUGAUUUAACUCCACACAGGCUUUAAAGCAGAGGUGGACAGAGCUACAAUUCCUGGAAUCAUUCUGGCAGGCGCAGGUUGCACAAACCUUUUCUAAAGACCAG